UUACAACAACUGGCCCUGUGAGCAGGACAUCAAGGGUAUAUAUAGAGAGGCCAGGAGCCUUGGAGUAGAGCACACUGUUGCUACUGACAUGGCAGAGGAAACUACAAUCCCACAGGAGCCUAACUGCGAUGCAGGGACAAACACCGAGAGGUCAGAGCGACAAACACCAGGAGGCCAACGCAGAAGGGAGAGGACGAAUUCUCCACUCCAGGGCUAUAAGAUGGAGAAGAUUCGGAAGGUGGUCGAGUUAACAAAAUCAGUCCGUCGUCAGAAUUCCGGAAGAGGUCCUACACAGAAGAAGUCACAGAUAUUUGUGUUCUACUACCGGCGGAGUACAACAAUGACUAAAGAGCCAGAGGAGGAUGAAAACGUCCCAGAGGGCUCUUCCAGCAGUUCAUAAAGUGCUGCCCUGGGUCUAUCAGGUGACUGAGACCUUGCUGUCUCUGUUGUCUCUCCAGAGAAAGCACUGGAGAAAUGGUCACCUGUGUAGAGACCAAAUAAAAAAGCCCUCAGCUAUUGAUGUACAAGCUGUUGUAGAAAGAUGUGUGUGUAUCUCUGUCUGUUCUUCGGUGAUGGGGACUGAAGGAAGGCAGGAAGGGGCAGGCGUGUGAGAAGGGAGGGAGGUAGUAUCCUGCCAGUUUGGGGCCCAGACCAGCCAGUCCAUAGUUAGCCAGACACCGGGAAUAAGGACUGGGUGAGGACUGAGCUCUGAAGACAGAUUUCUUCCUGAACACUUUAUCCUGCUGGUGAGGAGGAAAAGGACUUGGUGUUUCCGU